rnacentral:rRNA from 1 species
UACGGAGGGGGCCAGCGUUGUUCGGAAUUAUUGGGCGUAAAGAGCGUGUAGGCGGCCAGAUAAGUCCGCUGUGAAAUCUCGAGGCUCAACUUCGAGCUGUCGGUGGAAACUAUCUGGCUAGAGUCCGGAAGAGGAGAAUGGAAUUCCUGGUGUAGCGGUGAAAUGCGCAGAUAUCAGGAAGAACACCCGUGGCGAAGGCGGUUCUCUGGGACGGUACUGACGCUGAGACGCGAAAGCGUGGGGAGCGAACAGG